rnacentral:rRNA from 1 species
AUUGAACGCUGGCGGCAGGCCUAACACAUGCAAGUCGAGCGAGCGGCGGACGGGUGAGUAAUGUAUGGGGAUCUGCCCGAUAGAGGGGGAUAACUACUGGAAACGGUGGCUAAUACCGCAUACUAUCGGAUGAACCAAUAUGGGAGUAGCUAGUGGGUGGGGUAAAGGCGCACCUAGGCGACGAUCUCUAGCUGGUCUGAGCGGAUGAUGAGCCACACUGGGACUGAGACACGGCCCAGACUCCUACGGGAGGCAGCAGUGGGGAAUAUUGCACAAUGGGCGAAAGCCUGAUGCAGCCAUGCCGCGUGUGUGAAGAAGGCCUUAGGGUUGUAAAUUUCUUUCGGUAGCGAGGCGUUAACUACAGAAGAAGCACCGGCUAACUACGUGCCAGCAGCCGCGGUAAUAC